GUUGCGCGGGGAGCCAGGACACACGGUCCGGAUCCGAGCCGCCGGGACCGCGUCGAGCCACUGGCGAGACCGACCGCGCCCAGG
rnacentral:ncRNA from 1 species